rnacentral:rRNA from 1 species
CAGCACCUCAAGUGGUCAGGAUGAUUAUUGGGCCUAAAGCAUCCGUAGCUUGCUUUGUCAGUUUUCGGUUAAAUCCAUACGCUCAACGUAUGGGCUGCCGGGAAUACUGCAGCGCUAGGGAGUGGGAGAGGUAGACGGUACUCGGUAGGAAGGGGUAAAAUCCUUUGAUCUAUUGAUGACCACCUGUGGCGAAGGCGGUCUACCAGAACACGUCCGACGGUGAGGGAUGAAAGCUGGGGGAGCAAACCGGAUUAGAGACCCGAGUAGUCC